GAUGAACGCUGGCGGCGUGCCUAAUACAUGCAAGUCGAGCGAACAGACGAGGAGCUUGCUCCUCUGACGUUAGCGGCGGACGGGUGAGUAACACGUGGAUCACCUACCUAUAAGACUGGGAUAACUUCGGGAAACCGCAUCUAAUAACGGAUAAUAUAUUGAACCGCAUGGUUCAAUAGUGAAAGACGGUUUUGCUGUCACUUUUAGAUGGAUCCGCGCCGCAUUAGCUAGUUGGUAAGGUAACGGCUGACCAAGGCAACGAUGCGUAGCCGACCUGAGAGGGUGAUCGGCCACACUGGAACUGAGACACGGUCCAGACUCCUACGGGAGGCAGCAGUGGGGAAUCUUCGGCAAUGGGCGAAAGCCUGACCGAGCAACGCCGCGUGAGUGAUGAAGGUCUUCGGAUCGUAAAACUCUGUUAUUAGGGAAGAAAAGAUGUGGAAGUAACUAUGCACGUCUUGACGGUACCUAAACAGAAAGCCACGGCUAACUACGUG
rnacentral:rRNA from 1 species